rnacentral:lncRNA from 10 species
AGACCUCCUCUCUCCAGUCCAUACACCCCAGGUGGCAAUAUUCCUCUGCCUUAAUCAUCCCAGGGUCAGGUACCAGACAACUGGGGGACUACCUGCAUAGCUUAGAGCCCACCAAAAUUAUCCAAACUAGGCCAAAUGCAGUGGCUCACGCCUGUAAUCCCAGCACUUUGGGAAGCCAAGGUUGGCGGAUCACCUGAGGUC